rnacentral:misc_RNA from 1 species
AAAAAAAAAAAAAAAAAACAGCAACAGCAACAUAAAACCACAGUAGUAGAAGAGAAAAAUAUUUGCGGCUGCAAACAGUAGCGGUGAAAAGAGGUAUAGGGAUUAAGGGUGCAAACCAAGUGAGGUAACAAGCUAUGUAGAGGCACAACUUCCUCGGGAGAUCGUUGGAAACAGGAUUAGACAGAAAAGGUUAUCGGGAAACACUUUACGUGUCGGCGAAUUGGAAAAAAAGGCUGAAACUUGUUAUAGGGUCUCAAUUGGCACUACACUUUUUAGCUGGUUUAGCAUCAUUUUCUUAUAAUAUUACCACGAUGAUUGGAUAUUAACACCAUAAAGGCAGAGAAAAGGAGUUACCACCUGGAUAAUAACCAAGACAAAUGUAUUAGAAAGGAUGUGGGUGGCAACUUACUCCAUGCAGAGGUCCACUACCUUUCUUUUACCAUGAGCCCAAUGGCCGGAUUUUGGAUAGUGGGUACAAGAGAAGGGAGGUGUUAGACAUUCUCUCAACCUAGACUUAACAUAGGACAAGGGCCAUCCUCUACUAAUGAUUUCUAAAGUCUGUCUUAUUGUUUCUUUUAUUUAGUUCCUUAGUCAUACAUUUAUCUAAGUCUAAAGUUACAUACAAUUAAUUUAAGCAAAUGAACCACAUAUAUGAACAAGUAAUUCAUAAUAUGCCAAAUUUUUAAAUGUAAUUAAUGUACCAUAGUUGCCUUUAUGACCCUAUUAAACAUAUUUCUAAAUAAAUUCCAUGCCAAGAUUCAAUUACAUAUAAGAAAGAUGCAUUUUUACAAAAAAACCUGAAUUCUAUUUUAUCCCAUAUUUACCUAUAUUAAAAUUACUAAAUAAAUUAUGAUUUGAGAUAAGCAGACCCUAAAUAUGCAAAAGUCUCUUAAGUUAAAAAACUAUAGAUUUCUACCGUGAACCAGACUUUAACUUGGCAAGUUAACCUAAAUUCAUAUAAUCCUAAUUACUAAAUAAUUUACAUGUCAUGGUGAUAUUCAAAGAUAAAAAUUAAACUAAAGAAAAGAAAUAAUAAAAAUAAACCAAAAAGAAAGAAUAAAUCUUGAUUCUUAUGCAGCCUCUUUUACUAACUUUCAGUUUAUGCCUUCAAGCUCCACACCAAUUUUCUUUUGACCACAUUUGGUCUACUUCUACUUGUUUUAGUUCCUUUUGAGAUUUCUUUCUAUCAAUUCAUGCCUUGUUUAAUACUUUCAUGCUCAAAAUAACAAAGGAUUAAAAAGUAAAGCAAAGUG